AACUUUGACAGCCUGUAAUAAGCGACACAAACUUCUUUUCUUUCCAUCCGAGAACUGCAUGGAGAGGUUGAACAACCCAGCAGCAGAGGUAAAGGAGGACCUGAAGAGACCACUGCUCCUGUACCACAACAGAUCAACACUGACGCUCCUCUCCGCAGAUACACUGAACAUUACAGAACGCUAAAAUAUAUCACAUCGAAUCAUCAAAUAAAGCUUCAGGUCUCUGGCUCAGGGGCUCGGUCAGUGAUCCCUCCAUGCCUCCAGUCUUCACACCUGUGCAGGAUUAAAGGGAAUCAAAGACUGAGCUAUCAUCUCCCAGUUUGAUCUGACCCAGUCAGUCGGCACAGAACAAGUCUCAAUACAUUAAUAUCCUGUGAAGUUUGUCCCUUUUCUUCUAGGAUAAGUACUAAUCUCAGUCCACACUUUAACUUUGAGCACCCAUCUAUGAUCUUAGGAGACAGAAUAGGUAAAAGCAGUCCAGUAUCACAACCUUCAAGGAUGUCACAUAGUGAACAACCUACGGCAGGAGUUUUCAGGUCUACAAAUAUUUAAGUUUUUUUUUCUCCAAGAUCAGAAUCAGCCAACAAGUCUUUUUAUUAUGGGAGAAUAUUUGGAGAAAGUGGUGAGCUCUCAGCAGACAUUUCAAAGUAACUAUGUAUCAGAGAUCACAUAAAGAACUUCAAACAGGUUUGAUUCAAAGACAUUUAUUGAGAGUAAUUUAUAAAGAGGAAGCAGAUAAUGACGUGUACACAAUAACUGCAUGCCACUACUGGCAAACACGCUUCUUUGGACAGUUGCCAUAACAACCACCUCUUCACUAAUUGGUAGGUUCAAUCACUCCACACAGUGGAAAAAUAAAUGAGUUCAUCGUUGUUACUGCUGCUGCAGAUGUUCAAUCCCCUGUACACACCGCUGACUUUAUUAUUAAAAUAAUGGAUUUUAAAACAGUCAUGCAAACUGAGAGAGGAAAUU